rnacentral:rRNA from 1 species
CUGUAAGCCUGCGAAGGUGUGCUGUGAGGCAUGCUGGAGGUAUCAGAAGUGCGAAUGCUGACAUAAGUAACGAUAAAGCGGGUGAAAAGCCCGCUCGCCGGAAGACCAAGGGUUCCUGUCCAACGUUAAUCGGGGCAGGGUGAGUCGACCCCUAAGGCGAGGCCGAAAGGCGUAGUCGAUGGGAAACAGGUUAAUAUUCCUGUACUUGGUGUUACUGCGAAGGGGGGACGGAGAAGGCUAUGUUGGCCGGGCGACGGUUGUCCCGGUUUAAGCGUGUAGGCUGGUUUUCCAGGCAAAUCCGGAAAAUCAAGGCUGAGGCGUGAUGACGAGGCACUACGGUGCUGAAGCAACAAAUGCCCUGCUUCCAGGAAAAGCCUCUAAGCAUCAGGUAACAUCAAAUCGUACCCCAAACCGACACAGGUGGUCAGGUAGAGAAUACCAAGGCGCUUGAGAGAACUCGGGUGAAGGAACUAGGCAAAAUGGUGCCGUAACUUCGGG